AGGGAAUAUUGCGCAAUGAGCGAAAGCUUGACGCAGCGACACCGCGUGUGGGAUGACGGAUCUAGGUUUGUAAACCACUUUCAGGAGGGAAGAAAAUGACGGUACCUCCACAAGAAGCCCCGGCCAACUACGUGCCAGCAGCCGCGGUAAUACGUAGGGGGCGAGCGUUGUCCGGAUUUAUUGGGCGUAAAGAGCUCGUAGGCGGUUCAACAAGUCGGUCGUGAAAGUUCAGGGCUCAACCCUGAAAUGUCGAUCGAUACUGUUGUGACUAGGAUACGGUAGAGGUGAGUGGAAUUCCGAGUGUAGCGGUGAAAUGCGUAGAUAUUCGGAGGAACACCAAUUGCGAAGGCAGCUCACUGGGCCGCUAUCGACGCUGAGGAGCGAAAGCUAGGGGAGCAAACAGG
rnacentral:rRNA from 1 species